AGUAUCAGGUGAUGAGACCUUGAAACAAUCUUAGGACACCUUCUGACACAGUGCUUUUAUCCUGUGAAUGAGAAGUAAUUUUUUUCUGAUGAUACA
rnacentral:snoRNA from 1 species